GCGCGGCUGGCGGAAUCGGCAGACGCUCGGCGUUGAGGGCGCCGUGUCCGAAGGGACAGGCCGGUUCGACCCCGGCGCCGCGCACCA
rnacentral:tRNA from 1 species